GAUGAACGCUAGCGGGAGGCUUAACACAUGCAAGUCGAGGGGCAGCAUAGGGUAGCAAUACUCUGAUGGCGACCGGCAAACGGGUGAGUAACGCGUAUGUAACCUACCCUGUACAGGGGGAUAACCCGGAGAAAUUCGGACUAAUAUCCCAUAACAAUAUCCGGGGGCAUCUUUGGAUAUUUAAAGUUCCGGCGGUACGGGAUGGGCAUGCGUAACAUUAGCUAGUUGGUAAGGUAACGGCUUACCAAGGCUUUGAUGUUUAGGGGUCCUGAGAGGGUGGUCCCCCACACUGGUACUGAGACACGGACCAGACUCCUACGGGAGGCAGCAGUGAGGAAUAUUGGUCAAUGGGCGCAAGCCUGAACCAGCCAUCCCGCGUGCAGGAAGACGGCGCUAUGCGUUGUAAACUGCUUUUCCAGGGAGAGAAACUUGCGCACGUGUUGCGCAAUUGACGGUACCCUGGGAAUAAGCAUCGGCUAACUCCGUGCCAGCAGCCGACGGUAAACGUGCGU
rnacentral:rRNA from 1 species